rnacentral:rRNA from 1 species
ACGGAGCAACGCCGCGUGAGUGAUGACGGCCUUCGGGUUGUAAAGCUCUGUUAAUCGGGACGAAAGGCCUUCUUGCGAAUAGUGAGAAGGAUUGACGGUACCGGAAUAGAAAGCCACGGCUAACUACGUGCCAGCAGCCGCGGUAAUACGUAGGUGGCAAGCGUUGUCCGGAAUUAUUGGGCGUAAAGCGCGCGCAGGCGGAUAGGUCAGUCUGUCUUAAAAGUUCGGGGCUUAACCCCGUGAUGGGAUGGAAACUGCCAAUCUAGAGUAUCGGAGAGGAAAGUGGAAUUCCUAGUGUAGCGGUGAAAUGCGUAGAUAUUAGGAAGAACACCAGUGGCGAAGGCGACUUUCUGGACGAAAACUGACGCUGAGGCGCGAAAGCCAGGGGAGCGAACGGGAUUAGAUACCCCGGUAGUCCUGGCCGUAAACGAUGGGUACUAGGUGUAGGAGGUAUCGACCCCUUCUGUGCCGGAGUUAACGCAAUAAGUACCCGCCUGGGGAGUACGACCGCAAGGUUGAAACUCAAAGGAAUUGACGGGGGCCCGCACAAGCGGUGGAGUAUGUGGUU